UACAGAGGGUGCAAACGUUGCUCGGAAUCACUGGGCGUAAAGCGCGUGUAGGCGGACCGGAAAGUCGGGUGUGAAAUCCCUGGGCUCAACCCAGGAACUGCAUCCGAAACUACCAGCCUAGAGUGUCGGAGAGGGAAGUGGAAUUCUUGGUGUAGAGGUGAAAUUCGUAGAUAUCAAGAGGAACACCGGUGGCGAAGGCGGCUUCCUGGACGAUAACUGACGCUGAGACGCGAAAGCGUGGGGAGCAAACAGG
rnacentral:rRNA from 1 species